AAAGGAAUUGACGGGGGCCCGCACAAGCGGUGGAUUAUGUGGUUUAAUUCGAAGCAACGCGCAGAACCUUACCUGGGCUUGAACUCCCACGAAGUCGGUAGAGAUAUCGAUGUGCCCGCAAGGGAAUGUGGUGAGAGGCGCUGCAUGGCUGUCGUCAGCUCGUGUUGUGAAAUGUUGGGUUAAGUCUCGCAACGAGCGCAACCCCUAUCCUUAGUUGCCAGCAUUAAGUUGGGCACUCUAGGGAGACUGCCUGGGUUAACCAGGAGGAAGGUGGGGAUGACGUCAAGUCCUCAUGGCCCUUAUGUCCAGGGCUACACACGUAAUACAAUGGCCAGUACAGAGGGAAGCGAACUCGCGAGGGGGAGCUAAUCUCAAAAAGCUGGUCUCAGUCCGGAUUGAAGUCUGCAACUCGACUUCAUGAAGUUGGAAUCGCUAGUAAUCGCGGAUCAGCACGCCGCGGUGAAUACGUUCCCGGGCCUUGUACACACCGCCCGU
rnacentral:rRNA from 1 species